GUCGAGAGAUGUAGAGUGAGGUAGAGUGAGGUCGAGAGAUGUAGAGUGAGGUAGAGUGAAGUCGACUAAAUAAAAAGAAAAUAUACAAGUCAGCUUUGGUAGAAAAGUGCUAACAGUCAGGGAACAGUCAGUUUUCCACUUUGUUAGUGCAGUGCUGGUACAGGGUCGUCUGCCGUAUUUGAGCCAGUACACACCUGUGUUCAGAGAAUCAACAGGUUAGGUGCGACAGUCGUUCACCAGCACCAAAACGACUGCUCAGUGACACUGAUGUAGAACACUCAGAAAGUGACACUGGGCCAGCUGUGGGCCAGAAGUAUUUUUCUGCUUGCGACUCUAAACCAGCAGUGCCGACUUAGAAACGACUCCGGGCCAAAGUCGCUGGCUAUCUGGGAUGUUACUAACUUACGAAUGGAGUUUUCGCCAGUGUUGCGCCGAAAAGAGUCCCCUGCUGAUUUCUGCAACUUAAAGGAUCCAGUGAUGUUCAGGAGGUAAAUGUACACAGAAUAAAACGUAGAGGGGUCUAAACAGAUUUAUUUACCACAGAAUGUGAUAGAGGGGGUUUUUGAAAACCCUAUUCAUUUUUCUCAUAGGGAAAAACCGCAUAGACACGGAAGCCGUACGAGGACUACAGAAUGAUGCACGACUUCAGUGGUCUAUAUACAGUCUAUGAUCGAGAAAGGGAGACUGGACAGAUAAACUCCUCCAUUAGUGUGGACUGUUGUGGUUUCAGUUCUAGUCUGAGACGCAAGGAAAAAGUUUGCCAACAAACAGCAAGGGUUUCCCGGGAAUGUCUCCAGCAGAUUGCAGCACUUCCUUGUCCUGCAUGGCUGCCAGAUUCAUCGCCAAUUGAGCAGUAAUAGGGCCAGCUGUGACUCCGGCUUCGGUAACUUUCGAAUUUGCAGGAUCUACAGAUACAGAUGCAACAUCUUUGGGCAAAUGUGCCACCAGAUGCCAUACAGAACGUGUAUGAAUUCAGAGAUAGAGAUAGCCCAAUGGGCUAAUAAUUCAGUUUUACCUGCUUUCAGUGAAAACAUUUUUCCCAAUAAACAUUAGCUUUAUUACA
rnacentral:lncRNA from 1 species